rnacentral:lncRNA from 1 species
UCGGUGUUUAUAAGGGAUGAUACUUUGUCUUCUUCUGUAUCUUUAUCUACACUGCUUGAAGUUGAACAUAGAAAGAAUCCCAAAAUCCUUGAAGUUGACAACAGGUUUUCAAGGUAUAAAGCAUACCUGCAAAUUUCGUUUACAAUUGUUAUAAUUUUGAUAUUAAAAUUACAUAUUUUUACACAAUAAAACCAAAACAAAACCAAAAAAAAAAAAAAAGUAGAAACAUACCAUCUAACCCAAGAAGAAAGUUCCCAUUUUAACGGCGUCGUAUCGUCUCUGAAAUUCGAUAGUUUAAGGUAGUUACGGCCACCGGUGGAAGGGUAAACAGAAAGCUGAUCUUGAAGAAUAAAGCUGCCACGUUUAAUGAUGUGAUGAACAGUGAUGAGACAUUUGAUGGCAACGGCGGCAUCGCGGGUGGUUUGAAGGCGGUCCAUGAUGGC